rfam:Turkey coronavirus, complete genome
GGGUACGGGGUAGCAGUGAGGCUCGGCUGAUACCCCUUGCUAGUGGGUGUGACCCUGAUGUUGUAAAGCGAGCCUUUG